CUAACGGGGACGGGAGCAUCACCCAUCUCCCUGAGCAGCAUGGUGAUGGAUUAUUUCCCCAGACCUCCAGAGGAGAGCCCAGCCUGGCCACCACCUUGCCCUGAACCUCGUGAGACCCUAGGUGGAGAGCCCAGCUGCACCUGCCUGGACUUCUGCCUGCAUAGCGGGGAGCCGCUGAGUGGGUGUUAUUUUCAGCUGCUGAGUGUGUGGCAACCUGGUUAGAGCAAUGGAAAACCGAGGCCCCUGCCAUCCUGCUGAGCUGGGUGAGGUUGUAUUUGAAGAAGCAAGCAAGCCGUAACCUCCUGGCUGUCCACCGCAGCGCGCUCCUCACCACAGUUCUUCACUGAUGAAGCAGCCCUCAGCCGUGGCCUGGGGGCACUGGGCCCCUGGGUCCUCCAGACCACUGACAUCUCUUUAAAUGACUCAGCUCGGCCCUGGUUCUCGUCUCACCAGUGGCAUUGUCUGUAAGAGAAACCAGAGGGUCUGUGGGGAAAGUCAUAACCUGUACUGGGGCAUCAGGGUUUGGUGGCUGGGCCACCAGAAUGUGCAAGGGCAGGUGUGGGGAGGGGGCAGCAUGAUGGGGGCAGACCCAUGGGGCUUCCCACAAGUGCACAACCCCCUCUGGCAAGUCCUCUAACCCCAUCCUUUCCUCUGGGGCGGCCUGGAUGGGAAUAUUAGAAAGGCUCGUGGGUGUGAGUUUGCCUGUGGGGUUUACACAUUUACAAUUACAGACCAAGGGCUUGAGCUCUAGGCUCAGCAUCCUCAGACACACUAGGAAUAAAACCCACCUCCCACCCAGGCUGAAGCGAUGCUGCACCUGGGGCUCCAGAGCAGCGGAGUCCGUGGUGAGACCAGACCCCAUCAGAGGGCUGCUCUGCAAAGAGCCCCACGAGGAGGCCUGGUGUCUGAGCGUGGGAAGGCUUCACACAGCAGGGAGGGGACAUCUGUAUAAAGCAAAGAACUGCCCCCCAGGGAGGCCCAGGCAUGAGCACAACAAAGCUCCAAGCCCUGCCUAUGGGGCCUGUUCCACCCUUAACUGGCAACAAUGGGGAGGUGGGCAGCUGAUGCAAGCACUGUGGAGACCGAGUCACCGGGCUCUGGACUCAGGACAGGCAGCAGCAUAGCCGGGGUGCACUCACGGCCCCAGGAUGGGAAACGUGCUCCUUCAAGCACUCGGCCCGCAUCGGCAAGUGCUUUCUGUAGAGGGCACAAUGGUCAGUCGUUCAGGCUUUUGGGGCCACACUGCCUCUGUCACAGCUACUCAGCUCAGCCACUGCUACACAAAAGAUUGUCAAUGAAUGAGUGUGACUGUGGUCCAGGAUAAAUGCUGGAUGUGGCCCUUGGGCUGUAGUGCACCAACCGUCCCCUGAGGUCACGUUUACCCUGCAUUAGAAAUAGCCCUGGCUGGUGUCCAUCUCUGCGCAGGCUGGGCCAGGACCGUCCGAGAGGGGCAGGAAUUGUGGGGCAUCUCUCCCACUCCCCGAGGGUAAGCAGGCAUGGCCACAUAUAGGUGACAGCAGCCUUCUGGUCAGCUCGAGUCAGGUGUGUCACAUCCCUGGGUGGAGUCUGGCCUGGACCCCAAGCCUACAGCCAUCGCAGCCCGGCAGCCGCUGGAGAGAGAAGACUGACACAGCUCUGGGAGCCGUGUGGUGGGGUGGGGGCUGGGUGCCAGGGCCCAGGAGGGUGUCCAGGUGAGCUGCGGGAAGCCUCGGAGGCCUGGCCCCUGAUCCUGGGCUUGCUCCUGCCAACUGGCCAUGGCUGUCUCUGCCCUCCCAGGGCAAUAGUGAGGUCAGACAGGAGAAAAGACAUGCAGACACUCAGCCCCUGUGUCAGGGAAUGGUGGGCGACACAGCCUCUCCACAGAGGACCGAGGCUGAGGGGGUGGGAAGGAGGUGCAGGGAGGUGAGGGUUCUGGGAAGGGAGCCCGGAGUGGUGGAGCCUCUUCCCCAGACUUCAGCAGGAACGGUAUCUUCCCACAGGUGUGACGAGAACUGCUUGAGCUGUGCAGGCUCCAGCAGGAACUGUAGCAGGUGUAAGACGGGCUUCACACAGCU